rnacentral:rRNA from 1 species
GAGUUUGAUCCUGGCUCAGGACGAACGCUGGCGGCAUGCCUAAUACAUGCAAGUCGAACGCUGAAGCACUCUGCUUGCAGAGUGUGGAUGAGUGGCGAACGGGUGAGUAACACGUGGGGAACCUACCCAUGAGAGGGGGAUAACAUCCGGAAACGGAUGCUAAUACCGCAUAGGUGUCAGAAACGCAUGUUUCAGACAUUAAAGAUGGCUUUUGCUAUCGCUCAUGGAUGGCCCCGCGGCGUAUUAGCUAGUUGGUGAGGUAAUGGCUCACCAAGGCAGUGAUACGUAGCCGACCUGAGAGGGUGAUCGGCCACACUGGGACUGAGACACGGCCCAGACUCCUACGGGGCGCAGCAA